AAGGCUUUAGCUUAAUUAAAGUGUUUGAGUUGCAUUCAAUUGAUGUGGGAUAAAGUCUUGCAAGCCUUA
rnacentral:tRNA from 1 species